AGAGUCGGGCACUCAACUGACUGAGCCCAGGUGCCCCAAUAAUUAUUCUUUUCAGCAUCUCUGUUUCACAGCAGGGUGGUUUUCAGGUCAUCUCCCCAUUUUACAGAGGCAGAAACUGAGGCCUAGAGAGGUUAAAAGCCUUACCCCACACCACACAGCUAGUAAGUGGCAGAACCGGUGUUCAACCCCAGAGUCUGUUUUCUAACGAGCAAUGUGAAUGGUGGCUGGUGGACGAGGUCCCACGCCUGGUGUGCCGCAGAGUCUUAUCCAGACCCAGGGAUCCCAGCUCUCCUGCCUAGUCCCUGGAGUCCUCAAGUAACUUCCUGAUAAUCACGAAGCCCAGAAGAAAGGGAAGCUCAGUGUCCAUGUAAGACACCUCGCAAGCAAGAUGCUGUGAAUGUUUUCAGUCCAGACGAGGGGAGAGGGGGUAGCUGGGGACAGGACCCAGCAAAUGGAACGUGGGGGUGCUCUUAUUAAUUUCCUAUGGCUGCCAUAACAAAUCCUUGGUGUUCCUUGACCCGUAGCUGCAUAUAACGCCCCUCUCUGCCUCCGUCUUCACCUGGCCUGGCCCUCUGUAUGUCUCUGUGUGUUCUCCUCUGUCUAUCUAAUGUCCUUCUGCCUUGCUCUUACAAGGACACCUGUCAUUGGAUUUAGGGCCCACCCAGGUAAUCCGGGAUGAUCUCCUCUUCAGAUCCUUCAGUUAAUUGCAUUUACAAAGACCCCUUUUCCAGGUGUAUCACAUUCACCCGCUCCAGGGGUUAGGAUGCAGUCACCUCUCUUUUGGGAGGGGGCACUGUUCAACCCACUGAAGUGGAAAGCGGCCCGAUUCUUCUUGGGCUCUGAGCCUCGGGCCUGGGUGAGGGGGCGAGCUGCAGCGGGUUCUCGACGGUGCCUCUUUUAUUGUUUCAUAUUUUUCUCUUUUGUUUUGAGGUUUUCUGCCCUCUUUUCUGGAAGGUGCACGAUGCUCGGCUCUGUGGUUAUUUUCGCCUAACAGCUGUGUUUCCGUCAUGGAUAGGCAGGUUGCCUCUGGCUUCUUGCUGUGACAAACCUCAUCGCCACCGAUGUCCUCACGUCCUCACGCAUGAUCUCCUUAUCAUCCUAUGCAGGACUGUCUCUGGGAUACACAUCUGGGUUCCCAAGUACUCGCUGCUGGCUGCCGACUUGAUUUAUUCAGCAUGACAAGGAAAAUUAAAUUAAAGGAGCAUCCAACCCUCUCCCCGCCCACCACCCACAAGAGGAAGGACCCAGGGUCACUUCAUAGUGGGUUGAAUGGUGGCUGCCCAAAAAAGAUACGUUCACGUCCUGAUCCCUUGGAACCUGUGAAUAUGACGCUAUUUAGGAAAAGUGUCUUUGCAGAUGUAAUUAAGUUCAGGAUCUUGAAAUGAGAACAUCUUGGAAUAUCUGGGUGGGCCCUAAAUCCAAGACAAAAGCUCCCAUGAGACACACAGAGGAGAUACACACAGGGGAAGGCCAUGUGAAGACAGAGACAGGUUGGAAGGAUGCACCCACAAAUCCAGGGAUACUAACUGCCACCAGGAGCUGGAAGAGGCAAAGGACAAAGUCUCCCCUAGCGCUCUGGGGGGAGCACAGCCCUACCAACACCUUGACUUCAGACUUCUGGCCUCCAGAGAUGCAAGAGAAUAAAUCCCUGUUGUUUUAAGUCACCGAGUUUGUGGCAAUUUGUUUUGGCAGCCUCGGAACACUAGUAGACAUUUCUUCUUGCAUUAAUAGGGAAGGGGGACAAAUUUAAAAAAUAUAUUGGAGAAGCCAAUAGGAUUUAAGUAAGAAGUUGCCUUUAUUGAGCACUUACCACAUGCCAGGUACCUGCUCCAGUUAGAAAGUGACAAAAAUUUGAACCCAGCAAGAUGAGCCCCAGAGCUUGCGCUUUUAACCAGCUACCUUGUACUUCUAGGAAAGGGUAGAAGCUGCAUUUGGAAAGGGACAUGGGAAGGGAAGGAGAAAAGUUAGGAAAAUUUGGGGGAAUUUGAGAGAGAUUUGGGGGCCAGCUGCCAUAGAGGCUGAGAUAUAAGUUCAUAAGUUUUGUUUUACAUUAUAAACAGAACUGUUUUUUGGGGUUUUUUUUGUUUUUUUGGUGUUCCUUGAGAAAUUUGGCAAAGAUUUAAAUUGCUCUCCAGUUAAAUUUUUUUUUUUUUCUAAUUUUGACGCAAGACUGUGCUGAGACUUGCACAUAUGGUACCUGUGUUUUAUACGGGUUACAUUUUCACCCAGUUGCCAUUCAUUCAUUGAGCUUAUGUGCCAUUUGGCUUAUGUGCCACCAUCUGUGCUCAGUGCUGGGUAGACCUGCAGAGGAGUGAGAACCACACCCUGCCCUGGGGGGCUCAGCUUGUCCUGGUCCAGCAGACAAAGAUCCUUGAGUUUGGACAUCGUUCUGUGAGCAGUGGGGGUUUGUCUACAGCGGGGAGACGAAGCUGAGAGAGAGAGCAAGAACUGGUUCUGUGUUCCCUAGGCUGCUGAGCCUUCUGGAUCUCUGAACCCCCAGCCCCAAACUUUGGUGGGCUGUUGGCUAAGGGGAUAAACUGAUUUUUGUUAUCUACUGAGGAUUAAAAAGCUACCUCAUUCAGACAGCUCAAUCAGAUUAAAAAAUGUUUUCUUGGGCGCCUGGGUGGCUCAGAUGGUUAAGCGUCUGCCUUCGG